rnacentral:rRNA from 1 species
CCGACGGUAAACGGUGCACACUGGGCGUGGGGGGUUUUCACCCCCUCCGUGCCGAAGCCAACGUGUUAAGUGUGCCGCCUGGGGAGUACGGCCGCAAGGCUAAAACUCAAAGAAAUUGACGGGGGCCCGCACAAGCGGAGGAGCAUGUGGCUUAAUUCGAUGCAACGCGAAGAACCUUACCCGGGUUUGACAUGUGACUGCACGUCCCGUGAAAGCGGGAUUCCUUCGAGGGUGUCACACAGGUGC